CUAACUGGAGGACCGAACCGACUAAUGUUGAAAAAUUAGCGGAUGACUUGUGGCUGGGGGUGAAAGGCCAAUCAAACCGGGAGAUAGCUGGUUCUCCCCGAAAGCUAUUUAGGUAGCGCCUCGUGAAUUCAUCUUCGGGGGUAGAGCACUGUUUCGGCUAGGGGGUCAUCCCGACUUACCAACCCGAUGCAAACUACGAAUACCGAAGAAUGUUAUCACGGGAGACACACGGCGGGUGCUAACGUCCGUCGUGAAGAGGGAAACAACCCAGACCGCCAGCUAAGGUCCCAAAGUCAUGGUUAAGUGGGAAACGAUGUGGGAAGGCACAGACAGCCAGGAUGUUGGCUUAGAAGCAGCCAUCAUUUAAAGAAAGCGUAAUAGCUCACUGGUCGAGUCGGCCUGCGCGGAAGAUGUAACGGGGCUAAACCAUGCACCGAAGCUGCGGCAGCGACACUAUGUGUUGUUGGGUAGGGGAGCGUUCUGUAAGCCUGCGAAGGUGACCUGUGAGGGUUGCUGGAGGUAUCAGAAGUGCGAAUGCUGACAUAAGUAACGAUAAAGCGGGUGAAAAGCCCGCUCGCCGGAAGACCAAGGGUUCCUGUCCAACGUUAAUCGGGGCAGGGUGAGUCGACCCCUAAGGC
rnacentral:rRNA from 1 species